rnacentral:rRNA from 1 species
UACAGAGGGGGCAAGCGUUACUCGGAAUUACUGGGCGUAAAGCGUGCGUAGGCGGUUUGUUAAGUCCGCUGUGAAAGCCCUGGGCUCAACCUGGGAAUUGCAGUGGAUACUGGCAAGCUAGAGUGCGGUAGAGGAUGGUGGAAUUCCCGGUGUAGCAGUGAAAUGCGUAGAGAUCGGGAGGAACAUCUGUGGCGAAGGCGGCCAUCUGGACCAGCACUGACACUGAGGCACGAAAGCGUGGGGAGCAAACAGG